rnacentral:rRNA from 1 species
UACGAAGGGUGCAAGCGUUACUCGGAAUUACUGGGCGUAAAGCGUGCGUAGGUGGUUCGUUAAGUCUGAUGUGAAAGCCCUGGGCUCAACCUGGGAAUGGCAUUGGAAACUGGCGACCUAGAGUGCGGUAGAGGGUAGUGGAAUUCCUGGUGUAGCAGUGAAAUGCGUAGAUAUCAGGAGGAAUACCGAUGGCGAAGGCAGGUCUCUGGGCUAACACUGACGCUCAUGCACGAAAGCGUGGGGAGCAAACAGG